CCUACGUGCGGCAGCAGUGGGGAAUAUUGGACAAUGGGCGAAAGCCUGAUCCAGCCAUGCCGCGUGUGUGAAGAAGGCCUUCGGGUUGUAAAGCACUUUCAGUGGGGAAGAAAGCCUUGGGGCUAAUACCCUCGAGGAAGGACAUCACCCACAGAAGAAGCACCGGCUAACUCCGUGCCAGCAGCCGCGGUAAUACGGAGGGUGCGAGCGUUAAUCGGAAUUACUGGGCGUAAAGCGCGCGUAGGCGGUCUGAUAAGCCGGUUGUGAAAGCCCCGGGCUCAACCUGGGAACGGCAUCCGGAACUGUCAGGCUAGAGUGCAGGAGAGGAAGGUAGAAUUCCCGGUGUAGCGGUGAAAUGCGUAGAGAUCGGGAGGAAUACCAGUGGCGAAGGCGGCCUUCUGGACUGACACUGACGCUGAGGUGCGAAAGCGUGGGUAGCAAACAGGAUUAGAUACCCUGGUAGUC
rnacentral:rRNA from 1 species